rnacentral:rRNA from 1 species
AUGCCCUCAAAAGCAUGCCCCCAAGAAGCCCACCCAAGCCACUUUUUGGAUGCCGGCGGGCAAAAAGUGCCCUAUUGGAGCCCCAGAAACCUGUUUUACGCCGGAUUUGGCGAAAGUUACCGCCGGCACACCCACCCCAAACCCAGCCCCGCUGGGGGGAGGGCGGCUGGGGACGCCGACAUUUCUUUUUUUCAUGCACAGGCCCAUUUGCCAGCCCCUCUCUCUCCUCUCCUUUCUCUCUUUUCUUUCUCCUCUCUCCUCUCCUUUUCCUUCCACCACCUACCACACACAGCCGGAGCGGAGCACGCAUGGCUGGGGAGGGGACGCGUGCCCGGCGCGGAGCGGAGCGCGCAUGGCCAGGGGCGGGGCUCGUGUUCGCGCGGCCGUGGCGGAGCACGCAUGGCCGGGGAGGGGCUCGCAUGCCCGACGCGGAGCGGAGCGCGCAUGGUGGGGGCGGGGAGGGGCUCGUCUUCUUCGUCCUCGCAGUGGUCGUCCCAGUGGCCGCGCGCGUCACCAUGCCGCGCCCCGCCUACGACACACAGGUGCAGGUCUCGCUCACGCUCUCCGCGGCGCUCGCCUACCUCACGCUCGCCUCGCUCAUCCACCGCCGCGCCCUGUGACGGCUCCUCUACCUGGACCGCCUCCGGCACGACUCCUGGACGUGCUCCUCGAGCCGCCCCCACGAGCGAGCAUGGGGGGAGCGGCGCCCCCCGCCCGCGCACUCCACGACGCCCUCGCCGGCGGCCGGUGCGAGAGGCAGCGGCGGAAAGGGCGCUGGGCGGCUGGGUGCGUGCGCUGGCCGCGACCAGGCAGCAGCGCGGCCAUAGCGGGCGGGGGCAGCAGCAGCUGCCGCCGGCGGCCGGUGCGCGCGUGCAGCGAAGGGCGGCCACGGCCAGGCGCGGGCGCGAGCAGCUACAGCGCGGGGCCAGCGGAGGCGAGGAGCGGGACUACGGGCAGGCGGGUGUGCCCACGCGAGGCAGGGGCGCGACGAGGUGCGGCAUGGACGGGGCGGCGCGGCAGCGUGGCAAGGACGACGGCCUCGUUUGGGGGUGGAAACGGCUGGAGACUUUUUUCAUCCCCAGGCCAAAAAUUUCGCCGGCGGCCCCUCAAGCGGCGAAAAAAAUGCUUCUUGAGGGCUCAACAGCUGGAGAUGCUCUAACAAAUACUCUCUCUGUUCGGAAUUACUUGUCUCGGAAAUAG